GAACGUACCCAGAUCUAAGGAAUAGCCACUGGAAACGGUGAGUAAUACCAUAUACGCCCUUCGGGGGAAAGAUUUAUCGGAGAAGGAUCGGCCCGCGUUAGAUUAGGUAGUUGGUGGGGUAAUGGCCUACCAAGCCUACGAUCUAUAGCUGGUUUUAGAGGAUGAUCAGCCACACUGGGACUGAGACACGGCCCAGACUCCUACGGGAGGCAGCAGUGGGGAAUCUUAGACAAUGGGCGCAAGCCUGAUCUAGCCAUGCCGCGUGAGUGAUGAAGGCCUUAGGGCCGUAAAGCUCUUUCGCCAGAGAUGAUAAUGACAGUAUCUGGUAAAGAAACCCCGGCUAACUCCGUGCCAGCAGCCGCGGUAAUACGGAGGGGGUUAGCGUUGUUCGGAAUUACUGGGCGUAAAGCGCACGUAGGCGGAUUAGAAAGUUGGGGGUGAAAUCCCGGGGCUCAACCUCGGAACGGCCUCCAAAACUCCUAGUCUAGUGUUCGAGAGAGGUGAGUGGAAUUCCAAGUGCAGAGGUGAAAUUCGUAGAUAUUUGGAGGAACACCAGUGGCGAAGGCGGCUCACUGGCUCGAUACUGACGCUGAGGUGCGAAAGUGUGGGGAGCAAACAGGAUUAGAUACCCUGGUAG
rnacentral:rRNA from 1 species